AGAAUCUUUUUUUUUUGUAAAUUAAUAAACCUAUAAAUUAAUAAAAUAUCAUAGUCCCAACACUAUUAAUUUAUAGAGUUUUUACUGUACUUUAUAUUUUCAAACAACACAAUAAUUAACCUUAUGUCUAAACAAUAUAUUACAUUAGGUGUUAUCUUUUUAAUAAAUUUCUAUUAAUUUUCUUUCAAAGUAUUUGAUAAAUUAAAUAAUUUACGAAAUGUUCAAAUAAGUUAUGAAAAAAAAUUAUAACUUAUUUUUGUAGGUUUAGAUACUACAAAAUAAUUUCUACCAAUAUCAAAUAAAUUAACCUAAUGGAUUAUUUUAUUUAUAUUUUCAUUAAAAAUGACAUAUCUCUUAUUAAAAUAGAAAUAUUCAUUUGGACUCAACCUUCUUGUUGUAAGAUUUUAAAUUAAAUACAGUUCUCUAUUAUAAAGUAAUUAUGGAAAAAAUAUUAUACUAGUACCUAUAUUUCCAAACAACACAAUAAUUAAUAUAUUUUUUAUGAAAUUUCAAAUUUAUUGAUAAAACAAAGUAUGAAAAAUUACAUUUACAAAAGAAUGGUGAUUCUAGAAAGAAUAGGCUCAAGUGUAAAAAUAGAAAGCAGACAGAAACUCGUAAACUCCUCCCUAUCUAGUAACCUCGAACCACCUUUGAAGCAAGCCUGCAUUGCGAUGAUGAGGACUAUAUUUGAGAGGCAUAAUCAUGUUUCGCAUUGUCUUGUCUAUAGUCAUGUGAAGGUGAUCCGUAGAUGUCAAGCUCAUCUGAUGCAUUCUUGCAUUUCUUUCUCUCCACACAUGAUAGAUGGUCAUUUGAAAGACCAUCUUUAUCAGUAUAGAGUCAAGCUGGUGAAGUCUGUUUCCCUUAACCAUAUUAAGGGUGUGUGUCCAGUCAGGAUCUGUUCUCGCUCCAAAAAACCCUCUCACCAAUCCUUCCCAGACCGUAAAUGAGUACGGACAAGCGAAAACAGGUGAUCUCUUGUCUCAUCCCGCUCUACACACAGCCCACAGCCCUGAAUUAUAACCCAGCUCCUCAUCAUGUCUCCUGUGGAGAGUCUACUCAAUACAUCCAGCCAAGUGAUGAAUGCAUAACGUGGAACUCCUUGCGAGAACCACACUACAUUUCGCCAGUAAACUUAUCCCUUCGAGGUCUUAUCUGCUCCCAUGUGCUUGAUGAAGCAAUUUUUUCCUGGUAAUCAUCCUCUCCAUGCUUCCGCAACACAAUAUCAUCACCAAGAUUUGCAUCAGGAAUUGGCUCUGCAAGGAUCUAAUUAUAAAGAGCUUGAAACCGCCUAUUGCGCUUGCCUCUAACACACCAUCUCUCUGAAUUAACAUCUUCACUAACUAGAGCCUUAUGAGGAAGGCCUAGAUAGAUGGUCCCAACAGCUCAUGUUACAUCAAUCAGCCUACCAUUCUUCAUCCAAUUAUCAAACCAAAAAUAAGUAGUAGACCCAUUCAUUACAAGAAAAAAUCGUUUUCAUAGCACUACAGUAUAGCGUUUUUUGUCUUUCCGCUAUGGUUGAUAUACCCUUAAUUUUAGAUAACGUUUGUAUAUUUGGAAACGCUAUGAUAGAAUGGUAUAUUCGGAAACGCUAUGAUAGCCUAUUUUUAAUAGCAGAAUAUAAUGAAAUGCUAUAUUUAGCUUUUUGAAUCCCCAAACCCUAAACAAAUUUUUAAUCCCUAAACUAUAAAACACAACUUAAAACUCUAAUAUUCUCAUACUAUAACUUUAGAUCGUAAACAUAAACUCGAAAUUUACUCUUUUUAAUAUUAAUAUAUAACUUUCAAAACACAAGCCUUAAAUCUUCAAUCAAACUCUAACAAUAUAAAUCCAAUCCCUAAACCACAUACUUUAACAUAUAUCAUAAGAACAUUAAACCUCAAACUUUAAAUAAAAUAUAAUUUUUAUAAUAUAUAUCUCAGACUAUGUAUAAUAUUUCAAAUUUACAUUAUACAAUUCAAAAAUAAAAAUAAAACCAUUAAAUAAAAAAAACACAAAAAGAUGAUUAUAGAUAAAUGAACAGAUAAUUCUUAUUAGUUUAAUUUUGGGCCUUUGAUUAGUUUUGAUCCAAAGGCUAAAAAUCACUCUUUUGUGAUCUUCCUUCUUCGUUCUUAUUGGUCCAUUCUUCAAAAUUUGGAUUAAUAUUUCUGACCAUUGAUUAUUUGUAAUCCAGUGGCCAAGAAUUCAUCUUUUCAUUUUCCUUCUUCUAGAGUUUAUCGAUCUCUUCCUCUCUGUAUCAUUCCCUUCAUCUCCCUCACUGUCUCAAACACACACACACGAUUCAUGUAACACACAUCUCCUUUCUCUGUAAUACUCUCCUCACACACACACGAUUCUGAAGGUGGAGUCGAACCCAGAACCCAGCGACCGCGGAUCUGAAGAUGCUUGACCACCGCCAUCUCCCCCUUUCGCCACCGUCUCUCUCACCACCACUGAUGUGGUAGUCAUUGGGUUUGCGGCUAGGAGGCGAUGGAGAAGCUGGUGGUCGUGAAGAGAGGUGGUGGUCAUGGGGCUUGCGGCGAGGAGGGGACGGAGAAGUGGGUGGUCGGAGCAGAGUGGUGGUCAUGGGGUUUGCAGCGAGGAGGAGACGGAGAAGUUGGUGGCCGUGAGAAGAGGUUGUGGUCAUGGGGCUUGCGGCGAGGAACGGAGAAGUUCGUGAGGAGGCUGGCUCAAGAAGAUUAGGUUUUGAUUAGGUUUAAUUAAAUUUAGGUUAGAUUAGAUUUAAUUUUUAAAACAUUUGGUUUAGUGUUAAGUGUAAACCGAUUCUUAUCUUUUAUCAAAUGUAAUUUAUAUUGUUUAAUAAAAAAUAAUUUAUUAUGUUUUUAA